CGGACGGGUGAGUAAUAUCUGGGAGACUGCCCGAUGGAGGGGGAUAACUACUGGAAACGGUAGCUAAUACCGCAUAACGUCGCAAGACCAAAGAGGGGGACCUUCGGGCCUCUUGCCAUCGGAUGUGCCCAGAUGGGAUUAGCUAGUAGGUGGGGUAACGGCUCACCUAGGCGACGAUCCCUAGCUGGUCUGAGAGGAUGACCAGCCACACUGGAACUGAGACACGGUCCAG
rnacentral:rRNA from 1 species